CUCUGUCUCCUGGGUACUGGGAUUAAAGGUGGGCACAGCUAUGACUGAUGUCAUCACUCCCUACCUAUCUUUUUAAGAGCUACUCCAAGUGGGCCUGUCAAUCACCUGAGGAGGAACAAAAGUACCAAAACAAAAACCAAACCAAACCAAAGGUCUGUUCUACAGACAUUUGUGCUUUAAACCCUUCCUAAAAAUGUAGGCUGGCACCAUGAAUCUCCUUGGCCAGUGCCUGUUCUGGCCCCUUGUGAGCUGGUUUUUAUGCCAAUGGGUCUCUUUGGCCACUGUUUCUCUCUCCUUUGGGUGACUUCAUUUUACAAUAGUGCAGCCCAUUUAUCGUCCUUUGACAGUGUGCUCUUGUGUGCCUCAUCUGAAUUCUCUCAUUGACACACAAAUGAAGAGCUUGGGUGAGUUCAGACGUAGAGCCAAGGGACAAAAAGGUGGUUUGAGGAUACAAUAAAACAAUUUAUGUAACUCUCCUGGGUUAUUUUGGAUCUUGACAAGUAGAAACUAGUGUCGAUUUUACACAAAAGCAAAGACUGAGCCUGCUCAUCACAAAGGAAGGAGAAUAAAUAUAUUCUGUUUGAAAAGAAAUUCAGGGCAGUUAGGAAUGGGCAGACUCGCUAUGGACAAUAGCACAAGCAUAGGGUCCCAGCAGUCAGGAGGCCGAGACGUGUGGAUGGAGUUGCCUAUCAUCCUCAGCCACACUGGGUGUUUAAGGACAUCUUGGGUUACAGCCCUUUCCUCAACAAAACAGCAGCGAGCAUGAAAAACAAAACAAAACAAAACAAAAUCUAACUUCCCCAGGGGGUAAAAAGGCCCACCUGGGUUAGAGAUCCCACAAGGCUGGCUGAAUUCCCAAGAUUGGAGAUGAAAUGUUACGGGUCCAGAGCGAGAGUAUCUUGUGCUAUCUUUAGAAGAGCAGAGAACACUGCUCAUCAAAAGCAGCACGCAGAUCGACCGACUAGUAUGGAGAAGCUUGAGAUUUUUCGGGGGGUGGGGGUGGGGAUGAAAACUGAUACAGAAGGAAAUGUUCAGAAAACCUAACUUUUUUUUUUUUUUUUUUUUUUGCUUAGGACGGUUAGUAGUGUUGUCAGAUCUAGAAUCAUGUAGGAGAUGGGCCUCUGAGUAUAUCUGUGGGGGAUCAUUCUGACUACAGUGACUGGAAAGGACACACCUAAUGUGGGAAGAGAUCCUGGACGGUACAAACUUGAAGACAAUGCGCUAAGCAUAUUAAAAACUCGGGCAUGGUGGCGUUUGUAAAUCCCAGUGCUGGGGGUGGGGGGGCAGAGAAGGCUGGAACUUGAGGGCUCUAAAGCUAGCCAGUUUAGUGUAAUUGGCCAGUCCCAGAUUAUCAGUGAGAGACUGUCUCAGAAGCCUCCUGGAGAGUUACUUCUGGUGUCCGCAGGGACCUGACCUGUGCUCACACUUACAAACAUACAUGCACACACACUCGAAGGCUGACACAAAAGCAUCCGUUAUGGCCAAUUAUCUACUUGCUAAACGGAACACAAUGGAACUCGCAUCACAUGUGAAUUUAUUGUUAUUCAACAAAUUCUGACGUAAGAAAACGCGACCACUUUGCCUACUUUUCUCCUCAGUGUGCCUUCAACAUGGUAUGACAGACUUUCACAAACAGGGGUGGCAAAGUCACCAUCUCUGGAAUUUCUUACCACACCUCUGAAAGGCUGAGAUCAUUGGCGUCCGUUACCAAGUCAGACGCCUAAUAAACCGCAAGAAGAAAGUUGUUUGAGUAACGUCACUCAAGCCGGAAGGCAAACGCUGAGCGCCAAACAGGUCCGGUUGCGCACGUCCGGCGAUGUGCCGCCGCCCCACCUUUGCAGUCCCGCAGUAGAGAGCCUCGGCUCGGCCGCUGUGUUUGCCCACGCGGCCGGAGGACAGGUCGCGACACUGCACCGGCGCUCCCUAAGGCUGUACCUUGUACAGAAACUUUCGUCUACCCUGCCCAGUGAAGUUCCCUCUCCCGGGCUCACGUGAGAGCUUGAGUCGCGGUAAACUCAGUUCCGCCUGAGGACUGGGCGGCCUGACCGGAAAGGCGGGGUUUGGACGCGCUGAACUCCUUCCGACUACCUAGCCAAUCGCAGGCCAGCUGUGUCGCAGCAGCCAAUAGGAGAGGCCCGGCGCCUUUUGGGCCUGCGCAGGCAGGUUCCCUCUUGCCAUUCUGUCCUCCUUUUGUUAGAGUUCGGCUGUGCCUUCGGUCCUUACCUACUGGUUCGCAAUCCGGCGCCAUCGCGCUUUGGGCGAGCAUGGUGAUGGGGAGUAGCGAGGUGGGAACCGAGCUGACGUCUGUCUGGUCUUGGCGACCGUGGCGCGCGACCGGGAGGACUGGCCGGAGCAUGUCUCCAGGAGACGGGUCAAUGGUGCGGAGGUGACGCAGGAGCUCUUGGUGUGACCUGGGCCUAUGUAUGAUACCACAGGAGCUUGACCGAGGAUGCUCUGGUGUUUUAAUAAGUGACCCCUUUUUCUGAAGAUGUUGGGUGGUUAAUGAAAGAAGGAAUUGUAUUCUUGGCGAUGUCUGAAAGAAAUGUGUGGCUUUGAAAGAAGAUUAUGAAAUAUACAGGAAAGGAGUGAAAUCAAAGGAUGUUUUUCCAUGAUAGAGUAAUGUUUACACAUGUAUUCAGUAAUGUGAAGAUUUAUAUAAGGCCUGGUGACCUCAGUUAAUUCCUGGGAUCCACAGUGUGGAAGAAGAGACCUGACUCCUGAAAGUUGUCUUCUGACCACAUAUACAUAAUAAGUAAACAAAUGUAAUUUUGAAAUCUCAAAAUAGUAAAGUUAAAAAACAUAAGAAUGCUGCUGUUUUCUGAAAUGUAAGCAUGAUGCAAAGGACUUGUGACAGUUUUGUUUAAACUUUAUCUUCUUGAAAUGAGAAAGGGAUUAAACUGUCAAAAGAAUUAAACUCUUUGUAAUUCUUUCCCUUUUUGUAAAGAUUUAUUUGUAACGGUAAUGCCGUCUGCAGUGCCCUCGGUGAGGCUGGAGUGACAGGCAGCUGUGAGCUGUGUGAGAUGGGUGUUGGAAACUGAACUCUCCUGCCUCUGGAUGAGCAGUAAGCUCUCUUAACUACUGAGCCGCCUCCAGCCCAGCUUUGUGAAAAUGAAUUUGAAGUCUUGCGUUGUGGAGAAAAAGCAAGAGUGCGUGCUGUGCUGGAAUGUUGUGACUGUCAAUGAACUGAAACUUCCUGUCCGAGUUGCUUUCUGUGGAGGGCUAGCUCAGACAGGUGACCUCAUGCACAUUCCUCAAUGCAGGAAGCACAUUAAAUGACGUAGCUACCUAAUAAAAAUAGCCAGUUUGUCGUCCCUGUGCCACUGCCUUAGCUGCUGCUUGCUCAUUUGUACUGUAAUAAUAAACAGUUUUCUCCUGC
rnacentral:sRNA from 1 species